AAAGUCGUAACAAGGUUUCCGUAGGUGAACCUGCGGAAGGAUCAUUAACACGUAUCCAUACGUAUUAUAUACCAAACCGUGAACUCGUUUGUAAUAAAGAAGAAGGUGUGUAGUUUUGGAACCAGUAAUGGUUUUUUAAAACGAUAGCCUUUGUACCUUAUUCAACCUUAUAAACCACUUGUAACCAUAUUGUACUAAACCUAAGAAAAUGUGAAGGCCUACUGGGCAAUCAUAUUUUUUGUAUUUACGAAACGUAAAAACAAUUCUUAGCAACGGAUAUCUUGGUUCUC
rnacentral:misc_RNA from 1 species